AGUUUUACAUGUGAGGAAACAAGAAUUGUAUGUUAUGGCUGGAAUGUUAACUCAGUGAUUCUAGAGGAACUGAGGUAUAUUCUUUGUAAAUCUACUAAGCAUCUACUGUGACAGGAAUAAUUCAAGGAUCUAAGGAAGGGCUCAAGCAGACAUGCGACCUGUUGUUUCUUAGUUACUGUAUGCAUCCUCAGUGUUGAAUUUUUGAAUUCAAAAUUUUGAAAUCUUGAAUGCCUUCUCUGAGUAGAGGCCAAUUCCAGGUAUGGAAGGUUCAGGGGUGAACUAUAUGGGAAAUGUACCUGCUUUUAUCGAAUUUACUUCCAAUCAGGGAUAAACUGAGGGAGUUAAUAAAAAAGGGAACAAAUAAAUGAACAAAGUAAUUUCAGAUAAAGGAUAAAGGCUUUGAAGAUGGUAAGACAGUGAUGUAAUAACGGGGACUGGAAGGUGCAGGCUUUGGAUGGGAGUAACAAGAACUACUUUUUUUCCCUCUUUUUUUAAAAUGAAAUUAAGUUGAUUCGCAAUGUUAUAUUAGUUUCAUGUAUUCAGCAAAGUGAUUCACUUACACACACACACACACACAUUCUUUUUUUCGUAUUCUUUUUCCUUAGAGGUUAUUACAAGAUAUUGAGACCAAAAAACAAACAAAAAGCAAACCAAAAAAAAAAAGAAAAAAGAAAGAAAGAUAAGAAAAAUAUUAGGAGUUCCUAUCGUGGCUCAGCAGUUAGCAAACCCAACUAGCAUCCAUGAGGACUUGGGUUCAAUCCCUGGCCUCGCUCAGUGGGCUAAGGAUCCGGCAUUGUGGUGAGCUGUGGUGUAGGUCAAAGACAUGGCUCAAAUCCCAUGUUGCUGUGGCUGUGGUGUAGGUUGGCAGCUACAGCUCCGAUUGGACCCCUAGCCUGGGAACAUCCGUAUGCCAUGUGUGCGGCCCUAAAAAGACAAAGACCAAAAAAAAACAAAAAACAAAAAACAAGAUAUUGAGUAUAAUUCCCUGUGCUAUACAGUGGGUCCUUGUUCAUCUGUUUUAUGCAUAGCAGUGUAUAUAUGUUAAUAUCAAACUCCUAAUUUAUCCUCCCUCUCCCCCCUCCCCUUUCAUAACCAUAAGUUUGUUUCUAUGUCUGUGAGUCUAUUUCUGUUUUGAAAAAUAAGUUCAUUUGUAUCUUUUUUUUUUACAUUCCACAUAUAAGCAAUAUCAUAGGAUAUUUGUCAUUCUCUGUCUGGCUUAUUUUACUUAGUAUAAAUAUAAUAAUCUUUAGGUCCAUCCAUGUUGUUGCAAAUGGCAUUAUUUCAGUCUUUUUUUAUAGCCAAGUAAUAUCCCAUUGUGUAUGUAUAUGUGUAUAUAUAUGUAUAUAUAUGUGUAUAUAUAUAUACAUAUAUGUACAUAUAUGUAUUCCACAUCUUUAUCCAUUCCUCUGUUGAUAGACAUUUAAGGUGCUUCCAAGUCUUGGCUAUUGUAAAUAGUGCUGCUAUGAACAUUAGGGUGCGUGUAUUUUUUUGAAUUAGAAUUUAUAUCUUUUCCAGAUAUGUGCUCAGAAAUGGAAUAGAUGGAUCAUAUGGUACUUCUAUUUUUAGUUUUUUAGGGUCUCUCCAUACUGUUUUCCAAUUUAUGUCAAAGAAUGUUUGGCCUAUGUUUUUCUUCAGGAUUUUUAUAGUAUCCAGUCUUAUGUUUAGGUCUUUAAUCCAUUUUGAGUUUAUUUUUAUAUAUGGUAUUAGAGAAUGUUCUAAUUUCAUUCUUUACAUGUAGCUGUCCAGUUUUCUCAGCACCAUUUACUGAAGAGACUGUCUUUUCUCCAUUGUAUAUUCUUGCCUGAUGAGAGCUACUUUAAACUGGUUGAUGUUCUCUCUGACUAAGUGGAAUUUGUGCUCAGGCCUGAAUAACAUGAAAAAGUUAGCCCUGUGGCAACAUGAGAGCAGGGAAGACAAGUGAAAUGGCACUUGUGAUAAUGAGCUUGGUAUGCCAGGGACUGGAAGAAGACAAGUGUGGCCAGAGAAUAGAGCACAAGAUGGCAGCAUCCUUAGUAUGAGAUCAGGUCCUUUAUCCUAGAUUAACUAAAUUGAUAAUUUGGUUACAAAGAUUUAACUCCAGGAUUCAGAAUUUAAUACUUUUAGGUCGAGGUCAUUGUUCAUGUACAAUGGCAUAAGAUUUUAUAUCAAAUGUCCUUUUAAAAGAAUUCAUAUGACAAGAAGAUAUGAAUUCAACUUAAGGCAGCAAGGGAAAAAAAUCCAUUUAAUGAAGUACCGAGCACUUCUAUGUAUCAGAAUUAGGUGGAGGUAGGUGUAUAAAUAAGACAUGAUCCUAACAUCGAGGUCCCUGAAAGGUAGUAUGCAGGUUAAAACCAUCACCUAUUAGUCAGAUGUAUGAAAAACUAGCCAACCUCAGACGUUAUCCUCAUGUCUGAAACUGCACUUGUGGACCUUCUCAAUUACAACUGGACCUUCUUGUCCAGUAUUCACUGUGUUUGAUUGAAAUCAGGUUUAAAGUUAAGUAAAGCAAGUUGUACAUAAUGGGUGCUUAUUAACUAUUGUUUCAUUUAUUAUUUUUAUUGACAACACAUGAAAGAUUCAAUGUAUGCAAUUUUUACCAACAUUAUUACUACAUCUAUGCUGUAAUCAUAACAGAAUAAGGAAUAAUGCAGAAUUUUAUUUUAUUUUAAUUUUAAUUUUUUGUCUUUUGAGGGCCGCAACUGAGGCAUAUGGAGGUUCCCAGGCUAGGAGUCUAAUCAGAGCUGUAGCUGCCGGCCUACUCCAGAGCCACAGCAAUGCCAGAUCCAAGCCGCAUCUGAGACCUACACCACAGCUCACAGCAACGCGGGAUCCUUAACCCAUUGAGCAAGGCCAGGGAUAGAACCUGCAACCUCAUGGUUCCUAGUUCGAUUCACUUCCACUGUGCCACAAUGGGAACUCCUAAUGCAGAAUUUUAAAUCCACAUAUUCAAACUAUUUCCACAUAUCCUAUCAGUUGCAAUGUAUAUCUUAUUUUCUAAAUCUGACUAUAAUUUUUUAUUUUAAAUUUUCAGUUGAAUUUCUGAAAUGAAUUAGUCUUAGGACAAUUGUGAUUUGACAAAUCAUUAGAGACCUUUAUUUGUCUUCCUUAUUUAAAUUAUUUAGCUUCUAAGCUGUAAUACUUCAAAGCCAACUAAACAUACAUGCCU
rnacentral:lncRNA from 1 species